CAAUAGCGUAUAUUUAAGUUGUUGCAGUUAAAAAGCUCGUAGUUGGAUUUCGGUUAAGAGCGACCGGUCCGCCGUUUGGUGUGCACUGGUUGGUUUUAACUUCCUGUAGAGGACGUGCUCUGGGUUUAACGACCUGGACUCGGAGUCUACGUGGUUACUUUGAAAAAAUUAGAGUGUUCAAAGCGGGCUUACGCUUGAAUAUUUCAGCAUGGAAUAACACUAUAGGACUCCUGUCCUAUUUCGUUGGUCUCGGGACGGGAGUAAUGAUUAAGAGGAACAGUUGGGGGCAUUCGUAUUUCAUUGUCAGAGGUGAAAUUCUUGGAUUUAUGAAAGACGAACUCCUGCGAAAGCAUUUGCCAAGGAUGUUUUCAUUA
rnacentral:rRNA from 1 species